AUCCAAAACAGAGCAUGAAUAAGCCAGAGCCAUGUGUGGUUGGAGAAGGCAGGGGGAGAGUAUAUCCAUCGUAUUAGCGCUAGAAAUGUCUCCAAGAUACGAGCUCUGAGAACCUUAAACCCACCAACGCCAAAACCAACAUUCAAAACAAACUUACAACGUAGAUACAGAAGAGACCCAUCAAAAACCUCCGUCCAAGGAGGGGUAUUAACACAAAAUCUGGAGACUAGAGAAGCAAGACGAUGAAAGAAAACAAACUACGGAAAUUAAAGAACAAAAUUUCAUUGCAAAUUCAUUUUAUCCUUCAUCAAUUUCCAUGUCGGAUAGUUCAUGAACAUUCACGCUGCUUCUGCAAUUAAAUAUGUCAUGAUUAAGUUGACACGUGUCACACAAGCCAGGGCGCACGUUAACAUGCGGCACUCGAAUUUCAUUUUUUUUAAACUGUUGUUUUAAUCUUAAAGAACUCCGUUCUGAGACAGAUUAAAGAUUAAUAUUACUCUGUUUCCACUUUUCACUUUCUCUUUCUUUCUCUCCCUCUCUUUCUUUCUCUUUCCGAUGGCCAGCAACCACUACAUUACUAGCAACGGCGACGCCGAGCUGGCCAAGCCGGUGCUUACUUCGUCGGCUUCCUUCAAGACACGCAAAUCCAAGCCCAAUGCCGCCGCCGCCGCCGCCGCCGCCGCAUCAGCAGCUAUCUCCCGUGCCGGUUCAGAUGUCGAUGAUAUUAUUACUCUUUUGCACGGCUCUGAUCCCGUUCGCGUUGAGCUUAAGCGCCUAGAAAAUGAAGUCCGAGAUAAAGAUAGGGAACUGGGAGAAGCCCUUGCAGAAAUCAAGUCCUUGAAGAAUUCAGAACGCCUGAAAGAGAAGGCAGUUGAAGAGCUUACAGAUGAGCUAAAUAAAGUGGAUGAAAAGCUAAAAGCUGCAGAAGUUCUUUUAGAAAGCAGGAACCUUGACAUUAAGAAAAUAAAUGAUGAGAAAAAAGCAGCAUUAGCUGCACAAUUUGCUGCAGAAGCAACACUUAGAAGAGUGCAUGCUGCUCAGAAAGAUGAUGAAAUGCCUCCCAUUGAAGCCAUCAUCACUCCACUGGAGGCUGAACUAAAGUUGGCCAGGCUGGAGGUAGCAAAGUUGCAAGAUGACAAUAGAGCACUUGAUCGCCUCACGAAAUCCAAGGAAGCUGCUCUACUUGAGGCGGAGAGAACUGUUCAGAUGGCUUUGGCAAAAGCAUCCUUAGUUGAUGAUUUGCAAAACAAAAACCAAGAGCUAAUGAAGCAAAUUGAAAUAUGCCAGGAGGAGAAUAAAAUCCUCGACAAAAUGCAUCGCCAAAAGGUUGCUGAGGUGGAAAAGCUGACCCAAACUGUUCGUGAGCUUGAGGAGGCUGUCUUAUCUGGAGGCGCUGCUGCUAAUGCUGUGCGUGAUUACCAGAGAAAAGUGCAAGAAAUGAAUGAGGAGAAAAAAACAUUGGAACGUGAAGUAGCUCGUGCAAAGGUUAGUGCAAACAGAGUUGCUACUGUAGUUGCAAAUGAGUGGAAAGAUGGAAACGAUAAAGUUAUGCCAGUAAAGCAAUGGCUUGAAGAAAGAAGAUUUUUUCAGGGGGAAAUGCAGCAACUUAGAGAUAAAUUGGCAGUUGCUGAGCGCGCAGCAAAAACAGAAUCUCAAUUGAAAGAAAAAUAUCAAUUACGGUUCAAGGUUUUGGAGGAAAGGCUUAAAGCACCUAAUGGUAAUUCCCGUGCUACAUCUGAAGGAAGAAAUGUAUGCAGUGGGCUUUCACGUCGUCAGUCUCUUGGUGGAGCUGAGAAUUUUUCCAGAUCAUCUUCCAAUGGCUAUUUGUCAAGGAAAGCAUCACAUUUACAAGCUGGCUCUCUCCGUUCCAAUAACACUGCCACAUUAUUAAGACAUGCCAAGUCAUCAAGAUCAUUUGAUGGAGGUAAUGAGCCUGUGGAUGCAGUUAAGAUUAUUCCAGAAAAUAUGAGUAAAGAAAAUGCUGUCAAUCAGACCCAAAAUAGUGAAACCAUUGUCUGUGAGCAACAUGCUAAUGGGAUGCCAAUGGAAAAAUCAAAAUCCCAGCACAAGGAUUAUGUUUCAGGAAUUUUGUAUGAUAUGUUACAGAAAGAGGUGAUAACUUUGAGAAAAGCUUGCCACGAAAAAGAUCAAAGCCUCAAGGACAAGGAUAAUGCCAUUGAGAUGUUGGCAAAGAAGGUUGAUACAUUAAACAAAGCAAUGGAGGUUGAGGCAAAAAAGAUGCGAAGGGAAGUGGCUGCCAUGGAAAAGGAAGUUGCUGCUAUGCAGGUUAGCAAGGAGCAUGAUCACAGAACACGACGCAGCAGUGCUCCCAGAGCUGCUCAGUUACUUUCUGCAAGGUAUGCAAGAAAUUCAUAGGCAACUGAUGUAAAUGCAACAAUGAGCAGACAAAAGCAUGUUUGAUUAUUUAAUUUUGAAGCCAACAAGUUUGUGGUUUGUCAUAUUUAUACUCUUCCUGUCUUCUGCCGCUUCAAUUGUCUCCACCAAUAGAGCCUAUUUGUAAAGCACUGACUCUAGCUUUCCAAGAGAAUUAAUCAAUCAUAUGGUGUAAAUGUUUUGUAUCAAAAUUAUUAAAAUUAAGAAUCAUUAUGAUCAAGUGUGCCACGAAACUAAUAUACAAGGCUUGUCAUGAAUUCUUCCUUUUGAUGGUAUAGAGGAAACUCCGGAAGAAUCGAAUGUAUAGAGUUGUAUGGUACGUUCUAUGAAACUUUUCAGGUUUUAUCCUUUCGUAAGUUUAUUUUUUCAGGCAAUAGACCUUCAAUUCAUCAACAUGGAAUUGUAAAGAACGAAAAUGCUUGACGCGAGCGAUGAAUCUGGACCAU
rnacentral:misc_RNA from 1 species